rnacentral:rRNA from 1 species
CGCGGUUAUACCAAGUGAUUAAGUUAUAUAUUUAGGUAAAAAGAUAGUUAAGCGUUAUUAUAUUUAGUUUAUUGAUCAUCUGUAUAAAAGUAAAAUUUGUAUACAGAUAGUUAGUCUUAAAAUAACUCAUAUGCUGAAGCUAUGAUAGUCUUGAGGGAAACUGGGAUUAGAUACCCCAUUAUUCUUGAUUGUAAACAAAAUAAAAUUUACCAGAGUACUAUGAAGUUAAAAGUUUAAAACUCAAAGGGCUUGGCGGUGUUUUAGACCUAUCAGGGGAACCUGUCUCAUAAUCGACAGUCCACGUUAGACCUAACCUUAUUUUGUAACCCAGUUUGUAUACCGUCGUCGUCAGGUAACUUUUAAAAAUAUAGAAGUUAGCAAUAAAAAUUUAGUAAAUUAAGACGUCAGAUCAAGGUGCAGCUUAUAAUAAGGAGAGGAUGGGUUACAAUUAUAAAAAUUAUAAUCACGGAGAUUUUAAUGAAAAUACUUUGGAAGGAGGACUUGAAAGUAAAAGUAAGAUAUACAAAUAAAUUGAAUAAGGCUCUG